GUCCCCUCGUAAAACUGAACCAGUGCUUUAGGAAGCUACUCAGUAGGUAAAGUGAGUCUCUGUACAGCACGGACAGAUUAUCGAACUCUCCUUUGGUCCUUUCUAGACUCACAGCU
ensembl:snoRNA